rnacentral:rRNA from 1 species
UACAGAGACUGCAAGCGUUAUUCGGAUUCACUGGGCGUAAAGGGUGCGCAGGCGGUCGGGUGUGUCAGAUGUGAAAUCCCGAGGCUCAACCUCGGAACUGCGUCUGAAACUACUCGACUAGAGUACUGGAGAGGGUAACGGAAUUCACGGUGUAGCAGUGAAAUGCGUAGAUAUCGUGAGGAACACCAGAGGCGAAGGCGGUUACCUGGAC